ensembl:snRNA U6 U6 spliceosomal RNA
AUGCUCACUUUGGCAGCGCAUGUACUAAAAUUGGAACGAUAUAGAGAAUAUUAGCAUGGCCCUUGUGCAAGGAUGACACACAAAUUUAUGAAAUGUUACAUAUUUUU